AGUCGAGGGGCAGCAUGGUCUUAGCUUGCUAAGGCCGAUGGCGACCGGCGCACGGGUGAGUAACACGUAUCCAACCUGCCGUCUACUCUUGGACAGCCUUCUGAAAGGAAGAUUAAUACAAGAUGGCAUCAUGAGUCCGCAUGUUCACAUGAUUAAAGGUAUUCUGGUAGACGAUGGGGAUGCGUUCCAUUAGAUAGUAGGCGGGGUAACGGCCCACCUAGUCUUCGAUGGAUAGGGGUUCUGAGAGGAAGGUCCCCCACAUUGGAACUGAGACACGGUCCAAACUCCUACGGGAGGCAGCAGUGAGGAAUAUUGGUCAAUGGGCGCAGGCCUGAACCAGCCAAGUAGCGUGAAGGAUGACUGCCCUAUGGGUUGUAAACUUCUUUUAUACGGGAAUAAAGUGAGGCACGUGUGCCUUUUUGUAUGUACCGUAUGAAUAAGGAUCGGCUAACUCCGUGCCAGCAGCCGCGGUAAUACGGAGGAUCCGAGCGUUAUCCGGAUUUAUUGGGUUUAAAGGGAGCGUAGGCGGACGCUUAAGUCAGUUGUGAAAGUUUGCGGCUCAACCGUAAAAUUGCAGUUGAUACUGGGUGUCUUGAGUACAGUAGAGGCAGGCGGAAUUCGUGGUGUAGCGGUGAAAUGCUUAGAUAUCACGAAGAACUCCGAUUGCGAAGGCAGCCUGCUGGACUGUAACUGACGCUGA
rnacentral:rRNA from 1 species